rnacentral:lncRNA from 1 species
CCUUCGAAAUGUAGACUUUUAAGAAAAUAUCUUACUACACAUCUUAAGUAUAUACAAUUUUUCUUUGUCAAUCAUACCGCAAUAAAGCCGAGGGAGAAAAGAUUCAAUUUGUGAGCAAUUACGGGACCAUUCUAAUUUUCUGAAAAGAAAAACAGUAUCUCAUGGGGUUGUUUCUUAUCACUAGAUUCCAGGAUAUGUGUACAGCACUUAGAGCCUACAAGUAGGAAAUACGAUGUCAAUGUUAGCCUUUAUUGGUUUUUUUUAUUUUUUUAUUUUUUUUUUCCUCUCUCAAAUCAUGGGAGCCUUUGUUAUUAUUUUUGCCCUUGGGGAGCCCAUGGUCUGGUAGGGCCCAACCACAUUGUAGGGGCUGUUGGGUUGUUUGCGUUUGUCCUGCCCCUCACUUCCUCCUGGUUUUAUUUCCUUUGGGGACACCACUCUCCCACUCUAAACCCCCAAGGUUUGGGUGGCUGACUCCGCCCCCUGGCAGGCCUACCCAAUCAGUGUAUUCUACCCACCAGGCUGCUGUGAUUGGGUCAGUGCAGGCCACCUGACCCAAGUUGGUCCAAUGAGACUCCGUGUAAGUCCAUUUGGGCCACCACACCCACCCGGGCCUGCAAGGGGAGGAAGCUGACUUAAGAAGGAACUCAACGCAGAGGAAAGCAAAAUGGAGACAUGGAGGGAGACGCCAAGUUCCAGUGACAUUAAGCCCCUGAAUCCCACCAUGGCUGAACUUGCAUUACUGAAGCCCUCCUGAGUUGAAUUUCUGCCUCUUGCAAAUGAAAGAGGCCUGAUGAAUACCCACAUAGUUCAAUUUCAAUAUACGAAGGUUGGCUGAUUGUGGAGGCUAAAGCAACUCUACCUUGCCAGCUUAUCCACCAUGUGGACUUCUAAUUAAUCUCAGUUGCCGGAAUGCCUCUAAGAUUUCUACGUUAUCUACUGUGAAGAGCAAGUAAUUACUGCAAAUCCUGCCCUUGGGUCAAAACAACCUUGAUGACAUAUUCCUUCUGAAGCACAUAUACUCUUUCCCUAGCUGCCUGCCCUGCAGACUUCAGGCUCCAGCAUCAGACACAGAGACCCAGCGUUAUGGAGACUGUCUAACCAGAUCUCACAAUUGUGGAAGAUCCCAACUCCUACAGAAAUCUCUUAAAAACCACGUGUGGCUGGGCACAGUGGCUCAUGUAUGUAAUUCCAGCACUUUGGGAGGCUGAGGUGAGUGGA